rnacentral:rRNA from 1 species
AUUGAACGCUGGCGGAAUGCUUUACACAUGCAAGUCGAACGGCAGCACGGGGCAACCUGGUGGCGAGUGGCGAACGGGUGAGUAAUACAUCGGAACGUGCCCAAUCGUGGGGGAUAACGUAGCGAAAGUUACGCUAAUACCGCAUACGAUCUACGGAUGAAAGCGGGGGAUCGCAAGACCUCGCGCGAAUGGAGCGGCCGAUGUCAGAUUAGGUAGUUGGUGGGGUAAAGGCUCACCAAGCCAACGAUCUGUAGCUGGUCUGAGAGGACGACCAGCCACACUGGAACUGAGACACGGUCCAGACUCCUACGGGAGGCAGCAGUGGGGAAUUUUGGACAAUGGGCGCAAGCCUGAUCCAGCCAUUCCGCGUGCAGGAUGAAGGCCUCGGUUGUAACUAGCUUUGUACGGUAAUGAAACGGACGAGCUCUAAUACAGUUGCUAAUGACGGUACCGUAACGAAUAAGACACCGGCGUAACUACGUGCCAGCAGCCGCGGUAA